rnacentral:rRNA from 1 species
CCCUUAGAUGUUCUGGGCCGCACGCGCGCUACACUGACGAUGGCAACGAGUUUUUCCUUCGCCGAAAGGUGUGGGUAAUCUUUUGAAACAUCGUCGUGCUGGGGAUAGAUCAUUGCAAUUUUUGAUCUUGAACGAGGAAUUCCUAGUAAGCGCGAGCCAUCAGCUCGCGUUGAUUACGUCCCUGCCCUUUGUACACACCGCCCGUCGCUACUACCGAUUGAAUGGUUUAGUGAGGACUCCUGAUUGGCGCCGCCGCCCCGGCAACGGAGCAGCGGACUGCCGAAAAGUUGUUCAAACUUGAUCAUUUAGAGGAAGUAAAAGUCGUAACA